rnacentral:rRNA from 1 species
CGGGGUGCACCAGGCGCGAAAACUCUACAAUGCAGGCAACUGCGAUAGGGGAACAUCGAGUGAUACUCAUCUUGGGUGUCUGUCCUCCCGUCUAAAAAACGGGAGUUAGCAAGGGCCGGGCAAGACCGGUGCCAGCCGCCGCGGUAAUACCGGCGGCUCGAGUGGUGGCCGAUAUUAUUGAGUCUAAAGGGUCCGUAGCCGGCUUUGCAAGUCUUUUGGGAAAUCCAGCGGCUUAACCGUUGGUCGUCCGGGAGAUACUACAUUGCUUGGGACUGGGAGAGGUAGGAGGUACUCAGGGGGUAGGAGUGAAAUCCUGUAAUCCUUUGGGGACCACCGGUGGCGAAGGCGUCCUACCAGAACAGGUCCGACGGUGAGGGACGAAAGCUAGGGGCACGAACCGGAUUAGAUACCCGGGUAGUCCUAGCCGUAAACGAUGCUCGCUAGGUGUCACAACAAUCGUGAAUUGUUGUGGUGCCGUAGGGAAGCCGUGAAGCGAGCCACUUGGGAAGUACGACCGCAAGGUUGAAACUUAAAGGAAUUGGCGGGGGAGCACAAGGGCGAAUCGCGG